AUGUGUGUGUGGGUUUCCACAUAAAGAAGUUAAUGCAUACAGAAAGAGAGAAAAAGGAGGUUUGUGAGACUCUUUAGAGAACUGAAAAUGUUUACACUACUUCAAUGUUAAAUGAUAUAUAUAAAAAAGACAAAAAAAAAAUGAUCCAAAAUUAAACCAAUAGGUCACAAAAGUUGGCAGAAUAGUCUGUGUCGCAUUUGUGGAAGUGAAAUUGGUCCAAAAACUAGAAAAAAUCAAAAAAAAGUUAAAUGGAUCAAAUGUGAUAUUUGCAUCCAAAUCGAUGGUACCGUAUGAGAUGCAUUGUUUUUAGAAAUGAAACUUUAUUUUGUUGUGAACAUAUUUAUAUAUAAAUGUAAUAAUAAAUGAAACUUUAAAAAUUG